UAGCUCGGAGGUUGGAAGCUAUGAAGAUAUUGUUAGCUCUCGCCGCAUGCAUACUGAUAAUGCAUGCAGUGCAAGUGAAUUCACAAUUAUGUGACUGUCCAAACACAAUGGAUCCAGUUUGUGGCAGAGACAAGAGAACUUACCCAAAUGAUUGCAGUAUUAAAUGUGCGAAGAUGGGUAUAGCUCAUUAUGGCGCAUGCAAACGGCGUGACUGAUUGAUCAGACUUCAACAUUACGGCAAAUUACGAGACCUGACAAUGGAUUAAUUUCUUUCAAUUAAUUAAUUUAGUGUAAAUAAAAUAAAUAAUAAUAUGGUACAUUAUAAUUGUACUUUUAUUUACC